GUUUUGAAAUAGCCGUCGGUUCACGAUUUAUAAUUUCUAUGAAUUUACCUGACGAUUGAAAGCAGGGGCGUAGCACAGCUGAAAUUGCUAAUAGUUUACCUCCAUCAAGUCGAUAAGUGGGUGGUAAAGUUUUAAACGCUCUCAGUCGUCUCGAAGAACAACUACUUACAAUUCUAUUUCGUUAUGAAAAGAUUGCUCAAAGGCUCUUAAUAAUCAACAUCAUUACUUAGCGGAAUCCACGACAUGCAGAAGAGGCUUCAAACAUUGGCAGCAUGGGAAAGAACCCAACUUAUAACAAAGCGGCAUAUGCAGUUUUCCGGCCUGUCCGAGAACCCAAAUUUAAAUAUAAAUUUUGCAAGCCAUAAGACUGACCAUUUCAUUCAAAGAUGUGGAAAAUGCCACACACAAACCAGAACUCUGAUCAGGAGCCAAAGGUAUGCCGUUUCUUCGUGAGGAAGGACACACAAGAUAACUGCCGGAAAGAUGAAAUAAGGAGAGGAGGAGAAUGUCUAUGUAAGGAAUGAAUCAAGUUUAUUUCCUCACCCGAAGAAGAGAGAAAUCUGAGGAAUUUAAUAACUUUAAUAACAAAAGCGAAGAUCAACUGUGCGGAUUCCUGCCAGGUGCUGGAGACGUACAUACAAAAAUACAAGAAAAAAUAUAAGCCCCUAUAAUAUUUUACCUGCAUUUACAGGCAUUUUUCCCAAAUCUUCAAAAUUGGAUGGAUUUUAUACAUUUUUUUCUAAAAUCCUAUAAAGUUAUGGGUUUUAUUUUUUUCGUGUU